rnacentral:rRNA from 1 species
AACGAACGCUGGCGGCAUGCCUAACACAUGCAAGUCGAACGAGACCUUCGGGUCUAGUGGCGCACGGGUGCGUAACGCGUGGGAAUCUGCCCUUGGGUUCGGAAUAACAGUUGGAAACGACUGCUAAUACCGGAUGAUGACGUAAGUCCAAAGAUUUAUCGCCCAGGGAUGAGCCCGCGUAGGAUUAGCUAGUUGGUGAGGUAAAGGCUCACCAAGGCGACGAUCCUUAGCUGGUCUGAGAGGAUGAUCAGCCACACUGGGACUGAGACACGGCCCAGACUCCUACGGGAGGCAGCAGUGGGGAAUAUUGGACAAUGGGCGAAAGCCUGAUCCAGCAAUGCCGCGUGAGUGAUGAAGGCCUUAGGGUUGUAAAGCUCUUUUACCCGGGAUGAUAAUGACAGUACCGGGAGAAUAAGCCCCGGCUAACUCCGUGC